rnacentral:rRNA from 1 species
AUUGAACGCUGGCGGCAUGCCUUACACAUGCAAGUCGAACGGCAGCGGGGGAGAAGCUUGCUUUUCCUGCCGGCGAGUGGCGAACGGGUGAGUAAUACAUCGGAACGUGCCCUGUAGUGGGGGAUAACUAGUCGAAAGAUUAGCUAAUACCGCAUACGACCUGAGGGUGAAAGAGGGGGACCGCAAGGCCUCACGCUAUAGGAGCGGCCGAUGUCUGAUUAGCUAGUUGGUGGGGUAAAGGCCUACCAAGGCGACGAUCAGUAGCUGGUCUGAGAGGACGAUCAGCCACACUGGGACUGAGACACGGCCCAGACUCCUACGGGAGGCAGCAGUGGGGAAUUUUGGACAAUGGGCGAAAGCCUGAUCCAGCAAUGCCGCGUGUGUGAAGAAGGCCUUCGGGUUGUAAAGCACUUUUGUCCGGAAAGAAAUGGCUCUGGUUAAUACCUGGGGUCGAUGACGGUACCGGAAGAAUAAGGACCGGCUAACUACGUGCCAGCCGCCGCAGUAAUAC